CAAACUUUGGUGAAAUUUCAGGAACCCUAGCCAUUGAAAUGGAUGAGGGAACCUAUAUACAUGCACUCGACAAUGGUCUUUUUACCCUGGGAGCUCCACACAAAGAAGGGGAAAAUGGCUUUGUUGGCCUCAAAUAGAUGCUUUAUUAGAUACAAUGAAGCAGGGGACAUAGAAGCAAAAAGUAAAACAGCAGAAGAAGAAAUGAUCAAGAUUAGAUCCUGUGCUGAAAGAGAAACCAAGAAAAAAGAUGACAUUCCAGAAGAAGACAAAGGAAAUGUAAAACAAUGUGAAAUCAAUUAUGUAAAGAAAUUUCAGAGCUUCCAAGACCACAAACUUAAAAUAAGUAAAGAAGCAGUAAAAUUCUUAAAAAGAUGCAGAAAGAUGGAUUUUUGCAUGAGAUGCUUCUGGACAGUACUCCAGGUCAUUCUGAAGCAAGUGAUACAAACCACAGAAUGAGGAACACCGCCUUCAAGAGACUGAAUCUUGCUUCCCAACACUAGCUUGGUAUCUGAGACCAUCUGCCUGCUGACUGGCUUUCCUGGCACAAACAUUCUGCAUGUAGGCACAGUGUGUUCCUGGACUCCAUGUCAACCCGUUCACCCUCAUGUUCCCUUGGUUCCUGUCCCCAGUCCAGCGAGCAGAACUGAUUACAGAUCUUGACAACAGAAGAUACAGAUUUAAAAUAACUUGCCUGUUCCCG
rnacentral:lncRNA from 10 species